GUGUCAGCAGCCGCGGUAAUACGGAGGGAGCUAGCGUUGUUCGGAAUUACUGGGCGUAAAGCGCGCGUAGGCGGCUUUGUAAGUUAGAGGUGAAAGCCUGGAGCUCAACUUCAGAAUUGCCUUUAAGACUGCAUCGCUUGAAUCCGGGAGAGGUGAGUGGAAUUCCGAGUGUAGAGGUGAAAUUCGUAGAUAUUCGGAAGAACACCAGUGGCGAAGGCGGCUCACUGGACCGGCAUUGACGCUGAGGUGCGAAAGCGUGGGGAGCAAACAGGAUUAGAUACCCCCGUAGUCC
rnacentral:rRNA from 1 species